GGGGGGGGGGGGGGGGGGGGGGGGCGGGGGCGGGGCGAGGGGAGGGGCCCUGCGUUUGUGGGGUGCUCGAGUGGCGAACGGGUGGGUAACACGUGAGUAGCCUGCCCUGGACGUUGGGAUAACUUCAGGAAACUGGGGCUAAUACCGGGUAGGUGGUCCUGCUGCAUGGUGGGGGUUGGAAAGUUUCGGCGGGUGGGGAUGGACUCGCGGCUUCUCAGCUUGUUGGUGGGGUAGUGGCUUACCAAGGCUUUGACGGGUAGCCGGCCUGAGAGGGUGACCGGCCACAUUGGGACUGAGAUACGGCCCAGACUCCUACGGGAGGCAGCAGUGGGGAAUAUUGCACAAUGGGCGGAAGCCUGAUGCAGCAACGCCGCGUGCGGGAUGACGGCCUUCGGGUUGUAACCCGCUUUCGCCUGUGACGAAGCGUGAGUGACGGUAAUGGGUAAAGAAGCACCGGCUAACUACGUG
rnacentral:rRNA from 1 species